UUAAGUUCAGCGGGUAUCCCUACCUGAUCCGAGGUCAAACUUAGAAAGUUGGGGGUUGCUGGCAAGCAUCCACCGGAACUCUGUAGCGGGGUGUAUUACUACGCUUAGAGCCAGGUGGCGCCGCCACUGAUUUUAAAGCCUGCCGUUGCCGGCGGGGCUCAAGACCAAGCAGAGCUUGAGUGUUGUACUGACGCUCGAAC
rnacentral:misc_RNA from 1 species